rnacentral:rRNA from 1 species
GCCUGAGAAACGGCUACCACAUCCAAGGAAGGCAGCAGGCACGCAAAUUACCCAAUCCCAGCUCUGGGAGGUAGUGACGAAAAAUAACAAUGCGGGACUCUUCCGAGUCUGCGUAAUUGGAAUGAGCACACUUUAAAUCCUUUAGCAACAACCAAUUGGAGGGCAAGUCUGGUGCCAGCAGCCGCGGUAAUUCCAGCUCCAAUAGCGUAUAUUAAAGUUGUUGCGGUUAAAAAGCUCGUAGUCCGAGUUCAGUUCCGGACUGGCCGGGGAGGUCACCGCCCGGUGCUUCCCCGUCAGGCUCCGAACAGCUUUUAUGACUAAAAGCCAAGCCGGUUUUCGCCGGGGUGCUCUUCACCGAGUGUCCCGCGCGGCCGGCCAGUUCACCUUGAAUAAAUGAGAGUGCUCAAAGCAGGCUACUCUUAAAAAUAAAGCCCGAAUGUUACCUGCAUGGAAUGAUGGAAGAUGAUCUCGGUUCCAUUUUAUUGGUUCUGGGAGUCCGAGUUAAUGAUAAACAGGGACUGUCGGGGGCAUCCGUACUACGACGCGAGAGGUGAAAUUCAGUGACCGUCGUAGGACGAACAACAGCGAAAGCAUUUGCCAAGAAUGUCUUCGUUGAUCAAGAACGAAAGUUAGAGGAUCGAAGGCGAUCAGAUACCGCCCUAGUUCUAACCCUAAACGAUGCUGACUAGCAAUCCGCCGUCGUUAUUCCCAUGACGUGGCGGGACGCCCCCGGGAAACCUCAAGUCUUUGAGUUCCGGGGGUAGUAUGGUUGCAAAACUGAAACUUAAAGGAAUUGACGGAAGGGCACCACCAGGAGUGGAGCCUGCGGCUUAAUUUGACUCAACACGGGAAACCUCACCAGGCCCGGACACCAGAAGGAUUGACAGAUUAAGAGCUCUUUCUCGAUUUGGUGGGUGGUGGUGCAUGGCCGUUCUUAGUUGGUGGAGUGAUUUGUCUGGUUAAUUCCGGUAACGAACGAGACUCUGGCCUACUAAAUAGUCGACGUGGGUUUUGGUGCAUGGGCCCCGUUCGACAAUGUCUUCUUAGAGGGAUGAGCAGCGAGUAUAGCUGCAGGAGAUUGAGCAAUAACAGGUCUGUGAUGCCCUUAGAUGUCCUGGGCCGCACGCGCGCUACACUGAAUGGGUUAGCGGGUUCUCCUUCUCCGAGAGGAGAGGGAAAUCGCGUGAAAACCAUUCGUGAUAGGGAUUGGGGCUUGCAAUUGUUUCCCAUGAACGAGGAAUUCCCAGUAAGCGCAAGUCAUCAGCUUGCGUUGAUUAAGUCCCUGCCCUUUGUACACACCGCCCGUCGCUACUACCGAUUGAAUGAUUUAGUGAGGCCUUCGGACUGGCGGUCUUGGACUGGGCUCCACUCGCCAUCACUCCAGCAAUGGGGGGCGGUGGACUCGCCAUGACGAGCCGGAAAGAUGUCCAAACUUGAUCAUUUAGAGGAAGUAAAAGUCGUAACAAGGUUUCC